AUGGUGUUGCACACCCAAAUCCCCUUGCACGCAGAAUUCCAUUUGCACAACCAAGUUCUCGUGCACGUCUGCAUGCCACUGCACGUCCCAGUCGUGUUGCACACCCACAACCCAUUGCACAACCGUUGUGUUGCACGUCCAAGCCGUGUUGCACGCCCAAAUCCCGUUGCACGCCCAGAUCCUGUUGCACAAUCACAUCCCGUUGCACACCUCAGUCGUGUGGCACGCUUAAAUCCUCUUGCACAUCCAAGUCCCGUUGCACAUCCAAAUUCUGUUGCACGCCCAAGUUUGCACACCUAUGCCCCAUUGCAAACCCGGUUCUCUUUGCACACCAAAGUUGCCUUGCACACUCACUCCCCAUCGCACGUCGUUGCACACUCAAAGCUGUGGCACACCGAAGUGUUAUUGCACGUCCAAGCUGCGUUUCACGCUCAGAUCCCUUUGCACACUCAAAUUCCAUUGCACACUUCCAUCCAGGUGCUGUUGCACGUUCAAGUCGUGUUGCACGCUCAAAUCCCGUUGCACAUCCAAGUGUCCUUGCACACUCAAAGCUGUGGCACAUCCAAGUUUCCUUGCACAUCCAAGUGCCGUUGCACGCUCAAAUCUCAUAGCAAAUUCAAGUGUCGUUGCACACCCAAAGCCUGUUGCACAUCCAGGUGCUGUUGCACAUUCGAGUUGCAUUGCACAAUUCCCGUUGCACACCCACGUUGUGUUGCUCGCUCAGAUCUCCUUGCACACCCACGUGUCAUUGCACACCAGAUCCCGUUGCACGGCCAAGUUGUGUUGCACGCUCAAAUCCCAUUGCACAUCCAGCUGUUGUUGCACGUCCACGUGUCAUUGCACACUCAAAACCCAUGGCACGUCCAAGUUGCACUGCGCGAGUUCUGUUGCACACUCAAAUCCUGUUGCACGCCUAGCUGUUUUUGCACGUCCAAGUUGUGUUGCACACUCAAAUCCCACUGCACAUUUAAGUGCUGUUGCACACCGAAGAGCUUGUUGCACACCCGACCCUGUUGCACACUCAAGUGCCGU
rnacentral:lncRNA from 1 species